AGGCGUUCCGAGGGGUGCUCCGAAGGAGGAGCUGAGAUACCGCAAGCUUGGGCUUAGCCAGAGAUGGCGAUCAGCCCGGGACCGCGGUGACCCUUUGAACCUGAUCCGGGUCAUGCCGGCGAAGGGACAGGGAUGUAUCAGACGU
rnacentral:ncRNA from 2 species